GUGCCAGCCGCCGCGGUAAUACGUAGGUGGCAAGCGUUAUCCGGAAUUAUUGGGCGUAAAGCGCGCGUAGGCGGUUUUUUAAGUCUGAUGUGAAAGCCCACGGCUCAACCGUGGAGGGUCAUUGGAAACUGGAAAACUUGAGUGCGGAAGAGGAAAGUGGAAUUCCAUGUGUAGCGGUGAAAUGCGCAGAGAUAUGGAGGAACACCAGUGGCGAAGGCGACUUUCUGGUCUGUAACUGACGCUGAUGUGCUAAAGCGUGGGGAUCAAACAGGAU
rnacentral:rRNA from 1 species